CCUGGUUGAUCCUGCCAGUAGCAUAUGCUUGUCUCAAAGAUUAAGCCAUGCAUGUCUAAGUACGCACGGCCGGUACAGUGAAACUGCGAAUGGCUCAUUAAAUCAGUUAUGGUUCCUUUGGUCGCUCGCUCCUCUCCUACUUGGAUAACUGUGGUAAUUCUAGAGCUAAUACAUGCCGACGGGCGCUGACCCCCUUCGCGGGGGGGAUGCGUGCAUUUAUCAGAUCAAAACCAACCCGGUCAGCCCCUCUCCGGCCCCGGCCGGGGGGCGGGCGCCGGCGGCUUUGGUGACUCUAGAUAACCUCGGGCCGAUCGCACGCCCCCCGUGGCGGCGACGACCCAUUCGAACGUCUGCCCUAUCAACUUUCGAUGGUAGUCGCCGUGCCUACCAUGGUGACCACGGGUGACGGGGAAUCAGGGUUCGAUUCCGGAGAGGGAGCCUGAGAAACGGCUACCACAUCUAAGGAAGGCAGCAGGCACGCAAAUUACCCAAUCCCGGCUCGGGGAGGUAGUGACGAAAAAUAACGACGCUGGACUCUACGAGACCCAGUCGUCGGAAUGAGUGCGCUCUAAACCCUCGACGCGAGGACCCACCGGAGGGCAAGACUAAUGCCAGCCGCUGCGGUAAUUUUAGCUCCGGUAGCGUAUACUAAAUUUGUUGCAGUUAAAAAGCUCGUAGUUGGAUUCCUGCUCUGGACGUAGGGGGCCGCUAACGCGGUCCACCAUGCGCACCCGGCAUUCUGCCCGCCGCUCCCGAGAUCGUUGUCAAAGGCGGCUCGGGGUGGAUGGCGGAGAUCGCUUUGCAAAAAUUAGAGUGCUCUAGGCGGGCCACUAAGCUCGAAUAGUAAUGCACGGUACGAUGAAACAUGACUUUGGCUCUUAUUCGGUUGGGGCACGGAGACCGAGGUAAUGAUUAAUAGGAGCAGACGGGGGCAUUCGUAUUCCGACGCUAGAGGUGAAAUUCUUGGACCGUCGGAAGACGCACCACUGCGAAAGCAUUUGCCAAGAAUGUUUCCGUUGACCAAGAACGAAAGUGUGGGGCUCAAAGAAGAUUAGAUACCUUUGUAGUCUUGUACCCUAAACGAUACCCUCCAGCGAUCCGGCUGCGUACGAACGUGACGCGCCGGGCAGCUCUUCCGGGGAAACCAGAGUUCCGGCUCCGGGGGAAGUAUGGUUGCAAAGCUGAAACUUAAAGGAAUUGACGGAAGGGCACCACCAGGAGUGGAGCCUGCGGCUUAAUUUGACUCAACACGGGAAACCUCACCCGGCCCGGACACGGACAGGAUUGACAGAUUGAUAGCUCUUUCUCGAUUCCGUGGGUGGUGGUGCAUGGCCGUUCUUAGUUGGUGGAGCGAUUUGUCUGGUUAAUUCCGAUAACGAACGAGACUCUGGCAUGCUAACUAGUUACGCGACCCCCGAGCGGUCGGCGUCCCCCAACUUCUUAGAGGGACAAGUGGCGUUCAGCCACCCGAGAUUGAGCAAUAACAGGUCUGUGAUGCCCUUAGAUGUCCGGGGCUGCACGCGCGCUACACUGACUGGCUCAGCGUGUGCCUACCCUACGCCGGCAGGCGCGGGUAACCCGUUGAACCCCAUUCGUGAUGGGGAUCGGGGAUUGCAAUUAUUCCCCAUGAACGAGGAAUUCCCAGUAAGUGCGGGUCAUAAGCUUGCGUUGAUUAAGUCCCUGCCCUUUGUACACACCGCCCGUCGCUACUACCGAUUGGAUGGUUUAGUGAGGCCCUCGGAUCGGCCCCGCCGGGGUCGGCCCACGGCCCUGGCGGAGCGCUGAGAAGACGGUCGAACUUGACUAUCUAGAGGAAGUAAAAGUCGUAACAAGGUUUCCGUAGGUGAACCUGCGGAAG
rnacentral:rRNA from 1 species